CAGUGAAAAAGAAUACCCACAGACAAGGCACGGGUGGUGGGUCACCAAAGGCUGACCUUACCCCAGCAGAGGACAUGGCCUUGGAGCUAAAUAAAGGCAGGCCCGUCUUAGAGGGGAUCCCUGGGGGGAAAGAGACGAGCAUAGGUUCCUCCCAAGAUGCCACCCGCUUCAUUCAAGUGUCUGGCAGCACUGUGUUCCUGUUAGAGCCACCAGCACAAGCACCAGACGAUGCUGAUCCAGGUGAAGGCCCCAGUGCAGCAGCAACAGCACAUGAUGGAGACGAUGAUGAGGAGGAGACCAUCUCUCUGGAUUCCAGAAGGCAUGAGGACCCAGAUGCUAUACAGUGGGAAAACCAGCCUGGCAACAUAAGCUCACAAGCUAUCAGAAAGUUGUAUGGCAACCACCUCCGGCGCCAAAUAGAACUGGCAGACAUAGACAUUCAGUACAAGAAGAAAAAGAUGGAAAAUCUUGCACUGGAGUCCGAAAUAAAAAAGAGGACAAUUAGGAAACUGGACCUUGAAAUAAAAAAACUUGAGAGGGAGCUCCAAGAAGAUGACACAGCUCAAAAUAAAAAUUAGCAAUCAGUACAACCAAGUCAUCGUUAUAAGGCAUCGCCCUCUUUUGCCCACCCCCAGCACCAGGUGUGGCCACUAGCCUAUAUGAAGGCCCAAAAUUGUGUGUUCCUUUCUGCUCUGACAAUGGCAUGCCCAUUCGUGCGAGAUGUGGUGGAUGAAGAAGCACUUGUGCUGAGGAGAGCCUUCAGGCGAGAAAGGGUCUUCAGG
rnacentral:lncRNA from 1 species